AAAGAUAAUUUUUGGAAAACUGUGUUGAAAUUAAAUUAGAAAUUUGGAAUAUGUAACAAACUGAAUACAUUUCGAGCACUAAAUUUUAAGGUACCAGAGACCUAUAUUAACUCGAACGUGUGAUUGGGUAAUCCAAAAAGUUAUAGGCUUAAGCCAACGAUGGGGAUCUGGUGCACGGCUGUUGAAGGCAAAGAUAAUUGAUUUACAUUUAAUUUAAUGACGUUUAACUGUGUAUUUCCCAUAAGUUUUACAUAAGAUACCAGUUAAAAUGCUGUAAAUACACACACUGUGAAAUAAAUAUAUAACACGACGACACACUGAAAUGUUGAUCAUAUGGAUGCAUUUGAUCUGCCAACUAUUCUUCUCUUGCUUUG